rnacentral:sRNA from 1 species
UAUAAUAUUUUUUUAACUACGGUCCUGUGACCCUAAUCUUCAACAUAGUUCCGCCCUUGCCUGUACAUUUUAAUUAUUUU